GCCCUAGUAGCUCAGCAUU
rnacentral:tRNA from 1 species